rnacentral:rRNA from 1 species
AGCGAACGCUGGCGGCAGGCUUAACACAUGCAAGUCGAGCGGGCAUCCUUGUGGUGUCAGCGGCAGACGGGUGAGUAACGCGUGGGAACGUGCCCUUCGGUUCGGAAUAACUCAGGGAAACUUGAGCUAAUACCGGAUACGCCCUUUUGGGGAAAGGUUUACUGCCGAAGGAUCGGCCCGCGUCUGAUUAGCUGGUUGGUGAGGUUACGGCUCACCAAGGCGACGAUCAGUAGCUGGUCUGAGAGGAUGAUCAGCCACACUGGGACUGAGACACGGCCCAGACUCCUACGGGAGGCAGCAGUGGGGAAUAUUGGACAAUGGGGGCAACCCUGAUCCAGCCAUGCCGCGUGAGUGAUGACGGCCUUAGGGUUGUAAAGCUCUUUUCUCCGGGACGAUAAUGACGGUACCGGAGGAAUAAGCCCCGGCUAACUUCGUGCCAGCCGCCGCGGUAA